rnacentral:rRNA from 1 species
GAGUUUGAUCCUGGCUCAGAACGAACGCUGGCGGCGUGCCUAACACAUGCAAGUCGAACGUGAUCCAGAGCUUGCUCUGGUGAAAGUGGCGCACGGGUGAGUAACGCGUGGAUAACCUACCCUGGUAUCCGGGAUAACAUCCCGAAAGGGGUGCUAAUACCGGAUAAGCCCACGGGCUCUUUGGAGCUUGCGGGAAAAGGUGGCCUCUAUUUAUAAGCUACUGUAUCAGGAUGGGUCCGCGUACCAUUAGCUAGUUGGCGGUGUAACGGACCACCAAGGCGACGAUGGUUAGCUGGUCUGAGAGGAUGAUCAGCCACACUGGAACUGAGACACGGUCCAGACUCCUACGGGAGGCAGCAGUGGGGAAUUUUGCGCAAUGGGGGAAACCCUGACGCAGCAACGCCGCGUGAGUGAUGAAGGCCUUUGGGUCGUAGAGCUCUGUCAGAGGGGAAGAAAUGAUAUAGUGCUAAUACCACUUUAUCUUGACGGUACCCUCAAAGGAAGCACCGGCUAACUCCGUGCCAGCAGCCGCGGUAAUAC